CCUACGGGUGGCAGCAGUGAGGAAUAUUGGUCAAUGGACGAGAGUCUGAACCAGCCAAGUAGCGUGAAGGAUGACUGCCCUAUGGGUUGUAAACUUCUUUUAUAAAGGAAUAAAACGAGGCACGUGUGCCUUUUUGCAUGUACUUUAUGAAUAAGGAUCGGCUAACUCCGUGCCAGCAGCCGCGGUAAUACGGAGGAUCCGAGCGUUAUCCGGAUUUAUUGGGUUUAAAGGGAGCGUAGAUGGGUUGUUAAGUCAGUUGUGAAAGUUUGCGGCUCAACCGUAAAAUUGCAAGUGAUACUGGCAGUCGUGAGUACAGUUGAGGUAGGCGUAAUUCGUGGUGGAGCGGUGAAAUGCUUAGAUAUCACGAAGAACCCCGAUUGCGAAGGCAGCUUACUAAACUGUGACUGACAUUGAUGCUCGAAAGUGUGGGUAUCAAACAGGAUUAGAUACCCCAGUAGUC
rnacentral:rRNA from 1 species